CUUAACACAUGCAAGUCGAGGGGCAGCAUGGUCUUAGCUUGCUAAGACUGAUGGCGACCGGCGCACGGGUGCGUAACACGUAUCCAAUCUGCCCGCGGCUCGGGGAUAGCCCAUCGAAAGAUGGAUUAAUACCCGAUGGUGUGGUUUCUCCGCAUGGUACAUUUGUGAGGCAUCUUACAGAUGUUAAAGAUUUAUCGGAAACGGAUAGGCUCGCGUGACAUUAGCUAGAUGGCGGGGUAACGGCCCACCUAGUCUACGAUGUCUAGGGGUUCUGAGAGGAAGGUCCCCCACACUGGAACUGAGACACGGUCCAGACUCCUACGGGAGGCAGCAGUGAGGAAUAUUGGUCAAUGGUCGGAAGACUGAACCAGCCAAGUAGCGUGAAGGAUGAAGGUUCUAUGGAUUGUAAACUUCUUUUAUACGGGAAUAAAACCUCCCACGUGUGGGAGCUUGUAUGUACCGUAUGAAUAAGCAUCGGCUAACUCCGUG
rnacentral:rRNA from 1 species